UUGUAGGCUGAAACUCGCCUACAUGAAGCUGGAAUUGCUAGUAAUCACAGGUCAGCAUACUGUGGUGAAUACGUUCCCGGGCCUUGUACACACCGCCGUCACACCAUGAGAGUUGAGAAUACCCGAAGCCCAUGUCAAAGUGGUCGAAGGUAGGCUUGAUGAUUGGGGUGAAGUCGUAACAAGGUAAC
rnacentral:rRNA from 1 species